rnacentral:rRNA from 1 species
AUACGGGGGGUGCGAGCGUUAUUCGGAAUUACUGGGCGUAAAGAGCGCGUAGGCGGUCUUUUAAGUCAGGUGUGGAAGCCCGGGGCUCAACCCCGGAAGUGCACUUGAAACUAAGAGACUUGAGUAUGGGAGAGGGAAGUGGAAUUCCUGGUGUAGCGGUGAAAUGCGUAGAUAUCAGGAGGAACAUCAGUGGCGAAGGCGACUUCCUGGACCAAUACUGACGCUGAGGCGCGAAGGCGUGGGGAGCAAACAGGAUUAGAAACCCCAGUAGUCC